CUUCCUCAAAAGGCUGAACCCAGGAAUGCUGGGAGCUUUUGGUUAACACCUUUAGACUAUUAGAAUCUGAAGAAGACUGCGAGCGAUCUGAAUGCAACACUCGGAGCACUCAAAUGUGAGCAGAAAUACAGCUUUUCAUGUAAACUAAGUGAAGAAGGGUCUUGCUUUGUUGCCCAGCCUAGCGUGCAGUGGUGUGACUCUAGCUCACUACAGCCUCUGACCUCCCAGGCAUAAGUGAUCCUCCUGCCUCAGCCUCCCACCAUCAGGACUGCAGGGAUGCGCCACUACAAUCAGUGAAUAUUUUUAAAAUUUAUUUUUGUGCAGAGACCGGGCCUUACUAUGUUGCCCAGGCUGGUUUUAAACUAAUGGGCUCAAGCUAUCCUCCUGCCUUGGCUUCCCAAAGUGCUGGAACUGCAGGCAAGAGCCACCAUGCCCAGCUUCUUCUCUCUUUUAACUUUAUUUGUACAUUGCCUUAAUCUUUCAGAACAAUGUUUAACAAUGAACAUAAUAA
rnacentral:lncRNA from 1 species